rnacentral:rRNA from 1 species
GACGAACGCUGGCGGCGUGCCUAAUACAUGCAAGUAGAACGCUGAAGGAGGAGCUUGCUUCUCUGGAUGAGUUGCGAACGGGUGAGUAACGCGUAGGUAACCUGCCUGGUAGCGGGGGAUAACUAUUGGAAACGAUAGCUAAUACCGCAUAAGAGUAGAUGUCGCAUGACAUUUGCUUAAAAGGUGCAAUUGCAUCACUACCAGAUGGACCUGCGUUGUAUUAGCUAGUUGGUGAGGUAACGGCUCACCAAGGCAACGAUACAUAGCCGACCUGAGAGGGUGAUCGGCCACACUGGGACUGAGACACGGCCCAGACUCCUACGGGAGGCAGCAGUAGGGAAUCUUCGGCAAUGGACGGAAGUCUGACCGAGCAACGCCGCGUGAGUGAAGAAGGUUUUCGGAUCGUAAAGCUCUGUUGUAAGAGAGGAACGAGUGUGAGAGUGGAAAGUUCACACUGUGACGGUAGCUUACCAGAAAGGGACGGCUAACUACGUG